AGGAAGCAGAGACUGGGGCAUCUCUACCAUGGCCUGGGCUCCUCUCCUCCUCACCUUCCUUGCUCACUGUGCAGGAGGGUCUUGGGCCGAGUUUGUGCUGACUCAGCCCCACUCCAUGUCGGGGUCUCCGGGGCAGAAGGCCAUCAUCUCCUGCACCCGGAGCAGUGGCAGCAUUGGUGGCUACUAUGUGCACUGGUACCAGCAGCGCCCGGGCAGUGCCCCCAACACCGUGAUCUAUAAGGACAACGAAAGGCCCUCUGGGGUUCCGGACCGGUUCUCUGGCUCCAUUGACAGCUCCUCCAACAGCGCCUACCUGACCAUCUCUGGGCUGCAGCCUGAAGACGAGGCGGACUACUACUGUCAGUCUUAUGACAGCAACAGUAAUAAGCACAGUACUUCAGGCCCCUGGGGAAGUGAGACCAAAACUCUGCAGAGUGUCCCUGUUCUGGGUCUUCCCUCACCCAUCCCCACCAAGGAGGGUGCUCUUUCCUGUCUUCUGCUUGAGUGCUAA